UCUUCCUUCCCUGCUUGAGGAGUGAGUGCAGGAGGCGGGGCUGCCCUGGGACCCCAAGGGCACAGCAAUCUAUCAUUGUUACUCAUCCCACUCCCAGGAGCUAAGCAGCCUCACAGGGCUGGCUGUGCAGCUGACGUUCAUCUCCAUGGGCAACACUGUGGGAACCUAGGGAGUUGGCUGGUGUUUUUAUUAUUCUCCCCACUCAUCUCAGGUGUCAGGUCUCGAGAGGGUGGGCAACAUCUAAGCGCUGGUAUGUCUCCUUCUUCCACGAACUGGAGCCACACGUCCCCUUCCAGGUGGGAAAAUGAUUCUCCAGCCUGGUCUGUUCUCUCCUCUACAGCUCACAGGGAUAAAUUUUGUGCUGUGAAUCCUCAGGGCUUCAUUAUUUAUAUGCAAAGCCAUGCUUUUGAAAUUUUAAAUGAUUCUCUUUCAGAAAGCCCAGUUCUGAAAAUCUGGAGCAUUAUAGCUCUUGAAAGCCUCUGUGCAUCCUCUAGACGUGAACUUGAGCGACAUGCCCAUGGGCCCACCCAUGGGCAGUAUCUAUUCACACAGUAUACUCUAAGUAAUGGAAUGAGUUGACUUGAUGGAAUUAUCUAGAAUCGACAAUUAGAAUUUUAGGGAAUAGCUGCCAAAGCAAUGAUUAUGGUUUUGGCCACAUUGGCUGUUAAAUUUUUUGUUUAUUUGUUUUUUUUUUUUUCCUGAUAGUAAUUAACCAAGUAUUUUUAGUCUUUUUUGGUUCAUGAUUUUAAAAUCAUGCCAUCUGGGUAGAGAACAAUGCUUGUACUCCUGUUCAUGAAGGCAGAUGGGUAGGCUGGCACUUCCUUGAAAGCAAUAUUAAAGUUAUUUCAGUGUAUCCAAGUUUAUGACAUCAGGGAGAUGAAACUGUAGAAACACUGCCUAGAAAGCAUUGAUGAGUAAUAGAAGAGGUAAUACUAAGAGAUGGGUAAUCUUAAUGGGUAUCUUAAAAUUGCUUGCUCCUUCUGUAGGUUGACACGAACUGCUGAGUAUUGAAAUGAAGUCCCACAAGAAUUAAGGCUCCUCAUGACAAUUCUUGGUGUUAGGGAAUUGCUCUUUUGGAAGAUGGUAUAAAUUAUAUCUCAAGUCCCUUGUAAGGGAAAUAUUUCUGUUUGAAUAAACAACUUAUUCACGUUUGCAGGACACUACUCAGCAUAGGAGCUAAAACAAUACACCUUGAAACCCUUUUUCAAUUUAAAAUAAUUUAUUAAGUGUUUUAUAACAGACAGAGUGAAAAAUCCCAUUGGGAAGAGUUCCGGAAUCUUUAACAUGUGAAAAGAUGUGUGUAAGAUAAUGAUAAAUAAAAUAUCCCAUCAGGUUGUCAACAGAGAUUUUUGUCUCCACCAUUUCUCUCGCAGAAGCGAUUCCAUAUGUGACUGUGUUUUCAAAUCCGCAUUCGUUAGCCUUGACAGCCACACCCAGUAUGUCACAUGGAGCUCUAUCCAAUGAAUGCUGAAAAACUGCUUGCACUCAGAAUACUGCCCGAAGUUCAUUAAUUUGCCUGUGAUUUUCCUUGCAUCCAGCCCAGAGAAGUUAUCUUGCUGACAUAAACAGAUUUAAAAAAACUUCGUAGAACUUUAUGUUGAACUAAACUCCUAGCUUCUAAAUGGACUGGACCUGACCUGUACAACAUUUAUGAACUUGUAGAUAGCAGAACGUAUCUUCUAAAAAGUAAUUGGAAAGUUUAUGAAUUUAUUAAAGUUAUAUUCUUUGAGCUUAACCUUAUUAUGAAAAGGCAUCUCAUUACUAUAGUGAAGAGAUUUUCAGACAGCAAUAUUGGGAGUGCGAAAAUAAUUCAGUUUAGGGAGAAAUGAUUGCUUCAACAUUUAACCAGAUAUAGAUUGAACCAUAUAUGUUCCAUAUAUGGAACAACGUGGGCUUUGGAGUCAGACAGCCUUGGUUUUGAACAUGUACACAGCCAUUCAUUCCAUCCCUUAUUCAUUCUAUAGUAUUUAACUGAUACCCAGUUACUGGGGACACAGUGGUAAACAAAACAGGUGUUUUACUGCCUCUGUGGACCUCAUAGUCUAAUGGGGGAAGUAGGUAGGAAAUAAAUAAUCUUAUAAUUAAAUAAUAGUUACAACUGGUGAUUACAUGAAGGCUAAGUGCUGGGUGCCAUGAAAUCAAAUACCACAAGGAGUAAUUUAGAUUGAGGCUCAGAAGCCCAAUUGGAGGACUGGAAGCCGGCCAUAAUGUGGUUGGGUAUAGCGAACCAGAGUAAGAGAGGUUGAGGGAGAAGGGUAGGGAGGGGGAGGAGAGGAGCCAGAAAAAUGAAGCUGUAAGGUUUGAUCAAAAUUUUUAUCCUUUUUGAAUCUAAAUUUAUUUUUUAUAGAAUGUGGACAGUAGUAACUGCUUCAUGUAAUUGCUCUCAGAAUUCAAUAGCAUUAUACUUAAGUAAUGCUUAAUACAGACCUAGCAUAUAAGUAUUUACUACCUAGUGGCUAUAAAUAAUAAUAAUAAUACCCUCAUGGAGUUUAAAUUUAGGUGGGGUGAUAAUAUCCAUCUUAAGAAUGGAAAUAAGAGGGGCUGGUAGUUGCUUAAAGAGCUUCAGGGAAAAGUUCCACAUUUAUGCUAAUUUUAGAAAUGAGUUGUUUAUUACAGUCACAUCUGAGGGAAAAAGGAAAACAAAACAUCUUACUGUUUUCUAAUUAAUGAGUGAAUUUAAGUGACAUAUCAGCGAGGUUACAGAAUAUAGAUACUGAAGUUAUAGAUAGUUGAUGAAUGUAAUUUCCUGUAAUAUACAUCUAGUAUAUAAAACCUUGAGAUCAAGCUUGGCUGUUUCUCAGGGACUGACAAGCUUCUGAAGGCAGGAUGAGUUAAAGAAAUAAUUGCAAACUUACUAGUUAAGAUAUUUUCAUAACAAGAUUCAGAAAGAUUACAAAUUAAGUAGGAAUGGACCUUCAUCCUAACAAGGAUUAACACAUAAUUUUGGUUCCUUCAAGAUAAGCAUUUAAAAAUAUUUUAUACUUUUCUCCUUAUCUAAUAAUAUGUGGAUGGAUAAUUCAUGGCCUUUCCUCCCCAGUGUAUCUUGGUCAACUAUCUCCUCUCGUCUCCAGCUUCUUCUAAAGCUCAUGUCUCUGUUCUAGGUUGGUCUCUAGCCAAGGCUAAUUAAAAAAAAUAAGAGAUUUACUACUUUCUAUUUUUAUAAAAAGUGAGUGAAAUUCCACCUAAACUUCUUCUAAGGGGCCAUUGUUUAGCCCUAGUAAAGUGUUAUUAUAAAUCAGUAAAUAAGUUCAUCUAGGUAUUUUUUUUUUUGUAUUUUUAUUUAAUUUAUUUUUUAAAAAUUUACAUCCAAGUUAGUUAGCAUAUAGUGCAACAAUGAUUUCAGGAGUAGAUUCCUUAAUGCCCUUACCCAUUUGGCCCACUCCCACUCCCACAACCCCUCCAGUAACCCUCUGUUCUCCAUAUGUAAGAGUCUCUUAUGUUUCAUCCCCCUCCCUGUUUUUAUGUUAUUUUUGCUUCCCUUCCCUUAUGUUCAUCUGUUUUGUUUCUUAAAAUCCUCAUGUGAAUGAAGUCAUAUGAUAAUUGUCUUUCUCUAAUUUCACUUAGCAUAAUACCCUCUAGUUCCAUCCACGUAGUUGCAAAUGGCAAGAUUUCAUUCUUUUUGAUUGCUGACUAAUACUCCAUUGUAUAUAUAUACCACAUCUUCUUUAUCCAUUUCAUCCAUCGAUGGACAUUUGGGGUCUUUCCAUACUUCGGCUAUUGUUGAUAGUGCUGCUAUGAACAUGGGGGUGCAUGUGUCCCUUUGAAACAGCAUACCUGUAUCCCUUGGAUAAAUAUCUAGUAGUACAAUUGCUGGGUCAUAGGGUAGUUCUAUUUUAAAUUUUUCAAGGAACCUCCAUACUGUUGUCUAGAGUGGCUGCACCAGUUUGCAUUCCCACCAGCAGUGCAAAAGAGAUCCUCUUUCUCCACAUCCUCGCCAACAUCUGUUGUUACCUGAGUUGUUAAUGUUAGCUGUUCUGACAGGUGUGAGAUGGUAUUCUCAUUGUGGUUUUGAUUUGUAUUUCCCUGAUGAUGAGUGAUGUGGAGCAUUUUUUCAUGUGUCUGUUGGCCCUCUGAAUGUCUUCUUUGGAGAAGUGUCUAUUCAUGUCUUUUGCCCAUUUCUUCACUGGAUUAUUUGUUUUUUGGGUGUUGAGUUUGAUAAGUUCUCUAUAGAUUUUGGAUACUAACCCUUUAUCUGAUAUGUCAUUUGCAAAUAUCUUCUCCCAUCCUGUCAGUUGCCUUUUAGUUUUGCUGAUUGUUCCCUUUGCUGUGCAGAAGUUUUUAUUUUGAUGAGAUCCCAAUAGUUCAUUUUUGCUUUUGUUUCCCUUGCCUCUGGAGACGUGUUGAGUAAGAAGUUGCGGUAGUCAAGGUCAAAGAGGUUUUUGCCUGCUUUCUCCUCAAGGAUUUUGAUGGCUUCCUGUCUUACAUUUAGGUCUCUCAUCCAUCUUGAGUUUAUUUUUGUGUCUGGUGUAAGAAAGUGGUCCAGGUUCAUUUUUCUGCAUGUUGCCGUCCAGUUUUCCCAGCACCACUUGCUGAAGAGACUGUCUUUAUUCUAUUGGAUCUUCUUUCCUGCUUUGUCAAAGAUUAGUUGCCCAUAUGUUUGUGGGUCCAUUUCUGGGUUCUCUAUUCCAUUGAUCUGAGUGUCUGUUCUCAUGCCAGUACCAUACUGUCUUGAUGACUACAGCUUUGUAAUACGUCUUGAAGUCUGGGAUUGUGAUGCCUCCUGCUUUGAUUUUCCUUUUCCAAGAUUGUUUUGACUAUUUGGGGUCUUUUCUGGUUCCAUACAAAUUUUAGGAUUAUUUGUUCUAGCUCUGUGAAGAAUGCUGGUGUUAUUUUGAUAGGUAUUGCAUGGAAUAUGCAGAUUGCUUUGGGUAGUAUUGACAUUUUAACAAUAUGGAGCAUGGAAUAUUUUUCCAUUUUUUGGUGUCUUUAAUUUCUUUCAUAAGCUUCCUAUAGUUUUCAGUGUAUAGAUUUUUCACCUCUUUGGCUAGAUUUAUUCCUAGGUAUUUUAUGGUUUCUGGUGUCAUCUAGGUAUUUUUAUGUUUGAUAGGCUACCCUUAGAGAUGUGAACAAAGAGAAGAAGCCUUGCCUUUCUCUUUGUCCAUUUACUCCUCCAUCCAUUCAUUUAUUCAACAGAUAUUGAGUAGAUAUCCAUUCAGUAGACAUUUAUGGAGGUGUUCAUCAUAUCCUAGGAAAGGUACAUGGUGCUAGGGAUACAAAUAUAAUUGAUUUCUAGAUUCUGCCUUGAAACCCACAACCUUGUAGCCAAAUCAUUCAUUCAUUCAUUCAUUUAUUAAUACUGUAUAUGUAUUUCACAAGUGCCUACUCUGUGCCUGGCACUGUUGUAGACACUGGGGACGCAGUGCUGAAAAACAGACAUAGGGUCUGCCCUGGUGGAGCUUUCUUUCAAGUGGUGUACCUAAAAAUGAGUGUAGAAGGUAAGGGCUCUGUUCCCCAAACUGGCCUGGUGGCUGUGUGGGGUGCACAAAAUUAUUUAGGAGAGUUUUAGGAAGAAAAUAUUUCAAUUUUUAUUUAUCUUAAUCUCAUUUUACUUUAUUUAUAUUUUGUGUAUAUUUGGUAAUGUACUUAAUCUGUAUAGUACUUUGUAUCAUUUAUGUGUAAUAAAUAUUUAAAUUUGUUCCAUCAGUUCAUACUGAUAGGUUGCAUAAACAAAAACAUUUGCAGACCCCCGGAGGAAAGCAUGGAUUUAGCAUUAGAUAGCCUUACAAGUUUGAAGUCAGUUUCCAUCACUCGAUAUUUGCGGGUCCUUGGGCAGGCCAGAGCUCUGCAUCCUUUGUCAGAAGUGUUGUCAGGAUUGACUGCAAUAGUGUUAGCGGAGUGCUCAUAUUGUGUCUGUUUAUAUCAAGUCCUCAACAAAGUGAUAACUGAUGUUACCAUUGUUAUUAUUCAUGUGAUAAAUAAAUGCAGGCAUCUUCAAAGUGAUACAGAAACAUCUGAGAAGGAACUAGUUAAGCUGUCACCCUAGUGCCAUGAAACUAUUAUAAUAGAUAAUUGCUGGGAAUAUAAGUUGGUGCUACUUCAUACGCAGUAUGUACCCAAAUCCUUAAAUUUGUAAUUUACAUUGACCCAAUUAUUUUCCUUCCAGGAAUUUAUCCUAAAUUAUCCUAAGGGAACAAUCAGAAAUUCUAACAGAUUUAUAAUAGUGACAGAUAGGAGAGAGAACUAAAUGCCCAGAUAAAAAAUAGUCAGGUUUAAUUACAACUUUAUGAUGGAAUAUUGUGCAGCUUUUAGUAUUUUUAUUUUUUAUUUACCUUUUUAAUGUUUUAUUUAUUUUUGAGAGAGAGAGAGAGAGAUAGAGAGAGAGAGACAGAGUGUGAGCAGGGGAAGGGAAGAGAGAAAGGGAGACACAGAAUCAGAAGCAGGCUCCAGGCUCUGAGCUGUGCACAGAGCCUGAUGCAGGGCUCGAACCCACGGGCCGGACCAUGAGAUCAUGACCUGAGCUGAAGUCAGACACUUACCUGACUGAGCCACCCAGCACACAGUUUAAUUAAAUGGUGUUGGGAAAACUAGACAGCUACAUGCAAAGGAAUGAAACCAGACCACUUUCUUACACCAUACACAAAAAUAAACUCCAAAUGGAUAAAAGACCUACAGGUAAGACUUGAAUCCAUAAAACUUCUAAAAGUAAACAUAGGUAGUAAUCUCUUGGACAUCGGCCUUAGCUACAUAUUUAUGGAUAUGUCUCUGCAGGCACAAGAAACAAAAGCAAAAAUAAACUAUUGAGACUACACCAGAUUAAGCUCCCGUACAGCAAAGGAAACUACUAACAAAAUGAAAAAGCAACCUACUAAAAGGGAGAAGAUAUUUUUAAAUGACAUAUUGGUUAAAAGGUUAGCAUCCAAAAUAUAUAAAGAACUCAUACAACUCAACACCAAAAAAACAAAUAAUCUAAUUAAGAAAUGGGCAGAAGACAUACAGAUAUUUCUCCAAAGAAGACACACAGAUGGCCAACAGACACAUGAAAAGAUGCUCAGCAUCACUCUUCAUCAGGGAACUGCAAAUCAAAACUACAAGAAGAUCACUUCACACCUGUCAGAAUGGCUAAAAUAAAAAAUACAAAAAACCCACAAGUGUUAGCAAGGAUGUGGAGCAAAGGAAACUCUCUUGUACUGUUGGUGGGAAUAUAAAUUGGUGCAGCCACUGUGGAAAACAGUAUGAAGGUUACUCAAGAAAUUAAAAAUAGAACUACCCUAUGACCUAGGAAUCACACUACUGGGUAUUUACCCAAAGAAUACAAAAACACGAAUUCAAAAGGAUAUAUGCACCCCUGUGUUUAUUGCAGCAUUAUUUAUAAUAGCCAAAUUAUAGAAGCAGCCCGAGUGUCUAUUGAUAGAUGAAUGGAUAAAGAAGAUGUGGUACAUAUAAAGUGGGAUAUUAUUCAGCCAUCAAAAAGAAUGAAAUCUUGACACUUGCAACAAUAUAGAUGGAGCUAGAAAAUAUAGCACUAAGUAUGUCAGAGAAAAACAGAUACCUUAUGAUUUCACUCAUAUGCAGAAUUUAAGAAACAAAACAAUCAAUGGAAAAAAAAGAGAGACAAACUAAAAAAGAGUCUCUUAAUUAUAGAGAACAAACAGAUGGUCACCAGAGGGUAGGUGGGUGGGGGAUGGGGAUGGGUGAAAUGGGUGCAGGGCAUUAACCAAACACUUAUUGUGGAGCGCCUGGCUGGCUCAGUUGGUGGAGCAUGUGACUCUUGAUCUCAGGUUGUGAGGUCAAGCCCCAUAUUGAGUGUAGAGAUCGCUUAAAAUUAAAAUCUAAAACAAACAAAA